rnacentral:misc_RNA from 1 species
AAGGAACACGAGCUUGAAGAUGAAGAUGUUGUUCAGAUCAUUAAAAAGGUGUGAUCCUGGGAAUGUUUGUAGCUUUUCCAACUAAUCGGAUAUCCAUAGAUGCGAAUACCUUCAUGAUCAUGAGUUUAGCUUUCGGUGACGACAUGUCACAUCCUAUGCUUUUUGUUAGGCUACACAGUGCUUUCUUGGUACUACUAGCAUCAGUCGGAACAUUGAACAAUACGUAGUAGGAAGUGAGCUUGAUAUGUAAUUGUGCCAUUUUGUAGUCAAGCUA